CUACGGGAGGCUGCAGUGGGGAAUUUUGGACAAUGGGCGCAAGCCUGAUCCAGCAAUGCCGCGUGCAGGAAGAAGGCCUUCGGGUUGUAAACUGCUUUUGUACGGAACGAAACGGUCCGGGUUAAUACCCUGGGCUAAUGACGGUACCGUAAGAAUAAGCACCGGCUAACUACGUGCCAGCAGCCGCGGUAAUACGUAGGGUGCAAGCGGUAAUCGGAAUUACUGGGCGUAAAGCGUGCGCAGGCGGUUUUGUAAGACAGUCGUGAAAUCCCCGGGCUCAACCUGGGAAUGGCGAUUGUGACUGCAAAGCUGGAGUGCGGCAGAGGGGGAUGGAAUUCCGCGUGUAGCAGUGAUAUGCGUAGAUAUGCGGAGGAACACCGAUGGCGAAGGCAAUCCCCUGGGCCUGCACUGACGCUCAUGCACGAAAGCGUGGGGAGCAAACAGGAUUAGAUACCCCUGUAGUC
rnacentral:rRNA from 1 species